ACACACACACAGACACACACAGACACACACAGAGACACACACACACAGACACACAGAGAGACACACACACACACAGAGACACACACACACACAGACACACACAGACACACACACACACAGACACACACAGACACACACACACACAGACACACACACACACACACAGACACACAUAGAGACACACACACACACACACACACACACACACACACACACAGACAGACACACACACACCACGCUGGGCUUGAACUCACAGAGAUCUCUCUGCUUCUGCCUCCUAAGUGCUAGGAUUAAAAGUUCAGACCACCAUACCCAGCUCUCUUUUUCCCUUUUCUUUCUUUGUUUUCUUCCUUCCUUCUUUCUUUCCUUCCUUCCUUUCUUUCUUCCUUCUUCCUUUUUGUGAAAAGAAGAAUAAGUUGUUUCUGUUUGUUGUUAAUGAUAUGUAUAUGUGUGGUGGUCCAUGCAGGUACCUGAGGAUGCCUGAAGAGAGCACCAUAUGCCCUGGAUCUGGAGUGAUGGGUGGUUGUGAGCCUGUGGACAUGGUGCUGAUAAUGAAACUCAGAUCCUCUAAGAGCAAUCCAUGCCUUCUACUAACCCCAGCCUGUGUUGUUUCUGAGGGUUUUGUUGUAGCCCUACCAUUCUGUAGCUAAUCCCUCAUAUUUCUACACUGAUCUCAGCCAAAAAUCCCGAGGGAUCCCCACUACUCUUUACUGCCUUCUGUUAUGGGAUGAACUCAGGGUGUAUGUGUGUGUGUGUGUGUGCUGACUCUCACAGACACUCCCUAGCUCUACACCCAUUACCAGUGACCACAGACAUUCACAUCCCACAAGCUGGAAGACUCAGAGGAGAAGCAGGGCGGGUGAGGAGCUAUGUAGGCAUUCUGCUUUGAAUACUUGUAUGCACAGAUUUAUCCUGGGUGCUGGGUGUAGCCACAGAGCUUCGUGCAGUGUGUUGCAAAAAGUAAAAAGGCCUUUCAAAAUACUUACAUUCUAAUGUGUAGUUUAAUAAAAUGGUCCAAAACCGAUUGCUCUUCCUACCCACCUAUCUCACUAGCUCAGCUAGAUGGAGAGUGUUGAAGGAUUUGUAGCCGAGGGCGCAGAGAUAGCUCAGCAGUUAAGAGCGAUUGUCAGUCGCUCUGAGUUUGUUUCCUGGCACCUGUGUUGGGCAGCUCACAGUCACCUAUCAGUCCUGUUCCACGAGAUCUGAGGUUUUCUUCUGGCCCUCUGGGGCAACUACAGAUACAUGGCAUAUGCUCACACAGACAUACAUGCAUACACAUAAAUGAAAACUGAAAACAUGAGGGGCCAGAGUGGCUUCAGAUCUUCCAGAUGAUCUAAGUUUGCUUUUCCAAGACCAACUUCAGGCAGCUCACAGCUCCAGUGGAGUGUGAUACAUAUGACUUCCUUGGGUGUGUAGACACAUGCACAUACUCUUACACAGACUUGCACAUACACUUAAUUAAAAUAAUAGAAGUAUUUUAAAAUAAAAUUAAAAAUGUUUAGAUUAGAACACACAUACACAUAGACAUACAUACACACACACACACACACACUUCUUGCAGAAGGCCGGAGUUCCAUUUCUAGCAUUCACAUCGGAUGGGUCAUAACUGCCUGUAACCGGAGUUCUAGGUGAUCUGACGGCCAUAGGCACCUGUGCCCACAUGCACAUAAAGGCUCGGGUACACAGCAGCAUGUAUACAGAAAUUAAAGGACAGGACAUCUCAAGAUUUGUAGCUGAAGUUGUGCUGAGAGGUUUUUGGUAGGGCUUUGGUAUUGGCUUGUCUUUUCGUUCUCUGCUCUUAGCUGCUCCGUGUAGUUAACUGAAGUGCAGGACUCAGGUACAAAUUGGAAUGGGAAGGAAGAAUGUUAAGAUGGAGGAAGGUCCUGAGGACUCAACUCUGGAGGCCAUUGCUUUCCAAAGGCAGGGGAGAGUGGAAGUAGGGAGCGUGUAUCAAAAUAAUGGUGUUCAAUUAAGCGGCAUGGAGCCCUGGUAAAGGUCUGAAGUUUUAAUACAGAGUUACAAAAAGAGCAAAUAGGAAACUUUAGCGUGGUAACACCUGUUAGAAAAGUUGCAAGGAGCCUUGAAGUGUUGCUGGCUGUGAUGGUCAGCUUAGUUAGUAUUUACCAGUCUUCAUUUUUGUAAUGAGUUACAAAGCGGAGAUGAAUUUUCCAGAACUGCUGGUCUACUGUUAUCCUAAACAGUACUUUUCCUUCCAGUUAUUUUCUCCCCUAAGACAGUCAGCUAUCCUAGGUUUACCUAAGAAUUAAAACAAAUC
rnacentral:lncRNA from 1 species